ACGAAACAUGCGCACUCUCCCUCAGAGACUACACUGUCGUUUUGAGAGUUUGGUCACCUUAUUAACCAGCAUGUGACAAUGGAAUCGGCACCAAAAUGAUCGUUGUGUAAUGAACUCUGGCUGGUCUACAGUUGAUAUAUAGCAUGUUGCUAACAGCUUUAUUACUGUCAUAAUAAUGUCCUGCGUCAUUUUGGUAAAAGAUACUUAACAGAAAUAGAAAACCAGUAUUUUGAGCUUGUAAAGAUUUUGUAAGUAGACCUCCUAUAUAAGUUGGAGCUUAAAGAGCAAACAGCUGAAGACAAUGAUCCCGUGAUUGGUGAUGAACUUAAUGAAAUCGAUUCCGUUUACAGAGAUGGAUUUCCAAACACGACACCGAGAAAAAAACAAUACCAAGUUUGGUUUGGUAAAAAUCUUCAUAUUUUGGAUAAUAAUUUCUACAAUUGCUUCCAAUCUGUAAUUUUUGGACCACAAGUUUACUUUGAUGAAACAACUUUGAUUAGCGAAUAUCAUUCAAAAUACAGACUUGUUGAUGUGAAUAUACAGUAUAAAUUAUUAUUAUUAUUAUUAUUAUUAUUAUUAUUAAAAAAAUAUGCAAACCUUGAGCUGCAUCAGAAAACAAUAAUUUACAUGUAAUUGAUGUCUCUUGUUAGUCUGUUUUAUUAAUAGACAUAAAUCAAUUAAGGGGUAUUAGCAACAAACAAUUUUUAUUUUGGUAGCUAAGCAAUUUACAAUAUUGUUUGAGUUUUUAAUGUCUUCAGAAAAACAAAUACAAUGACAAAAAUAGUUAAAAAAAUAUUUAAAAGAAAAUAUUUAAUUUUCAAACUUUUUUUGUGGGGGUUGCAUUGUACUCAAAAGCUGCAAAAGUUAAAUGUCCUGUGACCUGAUAUAAUUGCUGUGAUGCUGGUUCUCUUGUGUUUUUGUUCGAGCGAUUCCAGCGACCAAACUCCCACCAAGCCAGUGUAGUCCUUGAACUGCUUCCUUUAACAUUGGGAUAUACAGUAGUUCUCCCACUGUGUAACGGCUGGAACCGCCACCCACCCACGUUGACGCUGGUGUGGGAAAACAAGCGCCACCAGCUUUUGUUGAACCAUCAUUCAGCCUCCAUAUCACAGCACUGAACAAUAAAGCAAGCCAGCGAGCUUAUGCCAACAUUUUUGUUUAUUUUCUUCUUUGCUCCUUUUGUAGUCAUUCAUGACAUUUCAGCCAGUGACUUUGUGCUGUGGUAUUGUCUUAUAUAAAUGCUUUCAUACUUAACCACACAGCGGAGCCGCACUCUAUUACGCUCGUCAUCCUGACCCAGGGUCAAAGGUCAUGUCCACUCAGCACUGCUGUCUGUGGUGGUGUGGUGAACGCAGCCCCUGGACUAUAAAUACAUAAGUGUAAGAGACUUGCAACAGUAAUAUACAGUAUAUUAUCUAUCUCUUUUCAGUAUAGGUUUGGCUAAUCCUCGGUAUGAGCUGAUUGGACUGUAGUGUUUUUAUAAUGUGGUUUUUUCUUUUUAAAAUGUGCUGCAGUGAGUCGUUCACUUUGGUUUAUUUUAGGGUUUUCUACUUAAGGGCCAGGAUCCAGGUGCCGGAUAAAGCAGUUUAACGUGUUAGAGAAGCCAGUGAAAGGAUGAGUCUAAUUUGAUUUAGUUUUUACUGGAUACACCUGCUCCUAACCGCCUGAAUAUCCCAUUAAAAAAAAGAAAAGAAAACAGGAAUCAAACUGCAUUUAAUGCCAGAUUGAUGCAUUUCUUCAUGCUAAAUCAGUCUGUUUACAUUUUAAAACCAGAUCUGAUUGAUUUUUAAAGUUUUUAGUUUUUAUUUUGGGGCCACAACUUGGCAGCAAAGCAUUCUGGGAAGUAUAGUGCUGGCACUCAACAGUUUGAUGUUCCGCAAUGUACUUUUUUUUCCUUGGGUUGAGUUAUUUAUAGACACAACUGCCUCCUUUUUCAAUGUGAAAGAUAUUCACCAAUAUCGUUUAACUUUUUGGACUUUAGCAAUGGUUUCUAUUUGUCCAUUUAUUUUAACUUAAGAUCAUUUAAUCUCCUCAUGAAGCAACUUUGUCUCCUAAAGAACUACAUUCUCAUACAACAAAAUGGCAUUCUCAACUACAGUGUG